rnacentral:tRNA from 1 species
AACGUGGCCGAGUGGUUAAGGCGAUGGACUCGAAAUCCAUUGGGCACUGCCCGCGCAGGUUCGAAUCCUGCCGCU